rnacentral:rRNA from 1 species
AACUUUCAACAACGGAUCUCUUGGCUCUCGCAUCGAUGAAGAACGCAGCGAAAUGCGAUAAGUAAUGUGAAUUGCAGAAUUCAGUGAAUCAUCGAAUCUUUGAACGCACYUUGCGCCCCUUGGUAUUCCGAGGGGCAUGCCUGUUUGAGUGUCA